AGGUGACUGAAAAUGGCGAAGUCAAAGAAUCACACGAAUCAUAAUCAAAAUAGGAAAGCACACAGAAAUGGCAUUAAGAAACCAAAGAGAUACCGCCAUGAAUCUACAUUGGGUGUA